ACAAAACACUAAGGAAGGGUGUGCAUCGGCCCCCGCUCUCUCCAUCGCCCUUCCUAGUCAUGACAUGGGGGGCCUGAAGAAACUCCAGACUGAAGACAAGGUGAAGGCUGAGCAUGGAUCAGCCUCACACAGAGACCUGACUGGCUAUCCUCUUACCAAGAGGCUUUCUCUGGACACGUCUGAUUGUCUGUUACCUGCAAAGUCCUUGCUUCCCAUCCAGAAGAGCUCUCAUCCCUCCAAGCUCAGGAAGAAGCUGCCGCCUGCCUGAAGAGUAGUUGAAGAAUAGGAUUUAUGCAUUAGUCUUCAUAGAUAUAGAUAUACAUAUGUUCUGAUAUUUAGAUGUAGUUUUGAUUAAAUAUAUUUUGAUUGUAUCUUGAAAUUUU